rnacentral:rRNA from 1 species
UGGGAACGUACCCUUCAGUUCGGAAUAACCCAGGGAAACUUGGGCUAAUACCGGAUACGUCCGUAAGGAGAAAGAUUUAUCGCUGAAGGAUCGGCCCGCGUCGGAUUAGCUAGUUGGUGGGGUAACGGCCACCAAGGCGACGAUCCGUAGCUGGUCUGAGAUGAUGAUCAGCCACACUGGGACUGAGACACGGCCCAGACUCCUACGGGAGGCAG